GUUCUUUUGUAGUUCAGAAGUGAUUACUGGUUUUUCACAUGGUUGUGUAACGUGUCACCCUUAAGCCUUGUUAUGAUGCUAGCAUAUUACCCAUCUAUUG
rfam:Erinaceus europaeus unplaced genomic scaffold scaffold00698, whole genome shotgun sequence